rnacentral:lncRNA from 1 species
UCUUUUCUAUUAUUUUCAAUGCUAUUUAAAGACUUCAUUACAUAACUAUCCAAAUAACGUUACCAUAACUAUCAUGAUUUAUUCUCAUUAACUUUGGUAACGGCAAUCAGUCAUUAACUUUAGUAACGGUUAUCAUUGCUCGUAAAGAAAGUCAUCUUUACGAGUUGAUUUUCGAAUACGACUGGGCCGCUUCGAGUUGGGCUUUGCGCCGUCAUCCUCUGGCUCCGUCGGGUCCUGCUGCAGAUCGAGUUCCAAGCUCAGGACCUGUUCGGCUAUUGUCUGUCACCGGCGAGACAGAUCAGUCCUCUCCUAUGCUAGGUUAGGUAUGUUUUAUUUUAUUUUGUGACUCUCCUAUCCUAUGUUGUCCAAUACUCCAAUCAUUAGUGCAUAAUUUUGUCAUUUAUGUUUAUAGGUUGGUAAUUGCAAUAAUAAUAUCUUGAUGUACUAAUUAAUAAAUAUUUGAUGAGAUCAUUGUGUUUGUCCAAUUCUAAAGAAAACAAACGGAGGAUAGUCGGCAACAUCAUUUAUGGUUUACAGAUUUCGGUCAGAUCUAAAUCAUUAAUGCUUCCUCGGUCCCCUACUCCUCUCUCCUCUCUUAAGUUCGCUGUUUGACAAAUUGACAUUAUGAUGAAACAACGAAAGAUACUGACAUUAUUAAUUGAAAUAUUGAUACCGAAAAAGUGAAAAUUGAUGUAAAUAUAAUGGUUAACUCAAAUAUGAUGAAAAAUUGUUGAAAAAUCAAAUUUUUAAUCUUUAGUAUAUGACUUUAGUUAGUAUAUCCCGAAAAUAGAUUUUUUUUUUUUUUUAAAUCUUUCGUAGUUCUGUUAUUAAAAAGAAAAAGGAAAACAAACAUUUUUACUUCUUAAUUGGGUCCGGCAUUCCAAUGUACCGCUUCCCAAGUCCCACGGGUUACACCGACACAGCAUCUCUCCUGGGGUUAUACGUAGUUACGUACACAAGAGUUGAAUAAUUUAAGUCUUAAGUACACGACAGGUGACAGUACACUGCCACGCCUUUAAAUCCAUUUAUUUUUGUCAUUUGUUAUCAGAUAAAUUCAAAAUAAAUGGAAAUAGUCAAAAUAUUGAAGCAUUUAAAUAUCCAUUUAACCAAAAAAUUGAACUUUAAAAUGAUUCUAUUGAAACUGUGAGCUCUGUUUUUCAAUCGGUUGUGUUGAUAGUUAGCAAGUCUCUGUUGUGUAUUUACAGUGCUAAAGGAGAAAUGGGUCCAUCGAUUUUUUUUUAUUCAUUUGAUAUAUUCAUCAAUAAAUUCGAUUUGAUAGAAUGAUAGGAUUAACUUAUAAAUAAAUAGUUAUAAAUCGUGAGAUUAAAAUUAACGAUAUUUAAAAAUAAAAUAAAAAUACUAAAAUAUUUAUUAUAAAAUUAUAUAAUUAGUUGAGAUUUGAGAAGUUGAGACUUGAAUGUCAAAUUAUCUGUUUAUACUUUAUAAUAUAGUAUUAGAAAUUAAUCAAAUUAUUAUUUAAGAAUAUGAAUAUUUAAUUUAAAACAGUGAUGUCAGUAAUGUAAAUAUUUCAAGUAUGAAGGUUAUAACUUACCGAAUUCUUUUUUUCUCUUCAAUCGUCUCUGUUCCCACCGAUCCGAAUGGUCCAAACUCCUAACAUACUCCAUACGGCUGCAUAAAGAAAUGAAAGGA